rnacentral:pre_miRNA from 1 species
CGUUGAGUUUUGGGGUACGUGUCAGAAGUGCAUUUACAUGAGGAAUUACGAUUGAGGUACUUGUAAAUGCACUAUCUGGUACGACAUUCCAGAAUCGCUAGUCGU